UUUGAAAUAUAAGUAGGUCCCAUGCAAUAUUUGGGACAUAAUUAUAUUAAAA
rnacentral:pre_miRNA from 1 species